AUUGAACGCUGGCGGCAGGCCUAACACAUGCAAGUCGAACGAGUGGCGGACGGGUGAGUAAUGUCUGGGAAACUGCCUGAUGGAGGGGGAUAACUACUGGGAACGGUAGCUAAUACCGCCUACAAUAAGAUGUGCCCAGAUGGGAUUAGCUUGUUGGUGGGGUAACGGCUCACCAAGGCGACGAUCCCUAACUGGUGUGAGAGGAGGAACAGCCACACUGGAACUGAGACACGGUCCAGACUCCUACGGGAGGCAGCAGUGGGGAAUAUUGGACAAUGGGCGCAAGCCUGAUGCAGCCAUGCCGCGUGUAUGAAGAAGGCCUUCGGGUUGUAAAGCACUUUCAGCGGGGAGGCGUUACCCGCAGAAGAAGCACCGGCUAACUCCGUGCCAGCAGCCGCGGUAAUAC
rnacentral:rRNA from 1 species